rnacentral:rRNA from 1 species
AUUGAACGCUGGCGGCAUGCCUUACACAUGCAAGUCGAACGGCAGCGGACCUUCGGGUGCCGGCGAGUGGCGAACGGGUGAGUAAUGCAUCGGAACGUACCUUUCAGUGGGGGAUAACGUAGCGAAAGUUACGCUAAUACCGCAUAUUCUGUGAGCAGGAAAGCAGGGGAUCGCAAGACCUUGCGCUGAUUGAGCGGCCGAUGUCAGAUUAGCUAGUUGGUGAGGUAAAGGCUAACCAAGGCGACGAUCUGUAGCGGGUCUGCGAGGAUGAUCCGCCACACUGGGACUGAGACACGGCCCAUACUCCUACGGGAGGCAGCAGUGGGGAAUUUUUGACAAUGGGGGCAACCCUGAUCCAGCCAUGCCGCGUGAGUGAAGAAGGCCUUCGGGUUGUAAAGCUCUUUCGGCCGGGAAGAAAUCGCACAGGCUAAUACCUUGUGUGGAUGACGGUACCGGAAUAAGAAGCACCGGCUAACUACGUGCCAGCAGCCGCAGUAA